AUUUGAACUCGGGCCCUUCUGACUCCACGUCCAGCACUCCAUCCAUUAGGCCACCUUGCUGCCUAGGGAAGUCUGAAUGCAACAAUACAGUUACAGGACCUCUGAAGAGCAACUGAAUUUGGCCCUUGACUGUUCUCUCCAAGGGUAAGGCCCAGGGAAGCAGCCAGCAGCCGUCCUCCUAAUGGCACAAGUGAGCUCAUUGGUACCACAGUGAGGGGAUCAUCCACCUAGCAUAAUGGGAUGCCUUGUGGAUUCUGAACAACAGGCCUGAAAACUGCUCCAGUCUCUGUUCACCUAGUUCUUCCCAUCACUGACAAGCUCCCAAGAAUAUCCUGACUAUUCCUGGGGUCCCCUAUUCAAAAUACAGUUGACUACAUCCUAUUUUUUGUUGAUCAGUGGAAACAGGGCCAUCACAGGCUGGAGAAAGGGAGUAGGGACAUCCUCUUGUUUCUCCCUAAAGGGCCAUAAAACUGGAGGAAGCUUAAGAUGGUCCUGUCCUAAGAAAGUCAUUUUGGAGAGGAUGGGAGUAACAGGAAGAGACAGCAAAAAAAAAGCACUAACUCUUCUCAUCUACUCGCCAGACAGUCUUACAUUUUCAGAUCUUUUUUCCUCUAACCUGUCCUCUACCUUACCCCCACCCAUCUCUAAAUUAAGACACUAGCUUCUACACUAAAGCCAUGAGCUACCUUAAAAUCCUGGCCCCUCUUAGCCCUGGCCCCAGGGGACAGGAAAUAGAAUUAAAGUCAGAUAGCUGGAACUCUCACUACUAACCUCCCCCCUACCCCCACCCCACCACCAGAGAAGAUGAAGUUUAUCAAUGUGUCCUUCCCUUCCCCUAAGCUCCAAAGAAAAAGGCACAGCCUUAAUUAAGAAUAGUAGCCUGAGGGGCAUUCUCUUAAAAAACUGGGAGGGACAAUUCAAUCAAACAAUUAUUAAAGGCUUACUAUGUGCCUGGCACUGUGCUACCCAAUGGAGAUAAGAGGCAAAAAUGCAACCAGUCUUUGACCUCAAGGAGCAUAUAUUCUGCUUGGGGGAGGGGAGAGAAGAUGAGGAAAGAUAAAUGUGAAUUAAACUCAUAUCACUUCUAAACCUGACUCAUAUUUGGGGAUUUUGUUUUCCCCAGAGAAAUAACUGUCUUUACCCAUUCUAUUCAAUCAUCAAUAGAUCCUGAAUGAG